rnacentral:rRNA from 1 species
GGGUUGUGAGGUUAAGCGACUAAGCGUACACGGUGGAUGCCCUGGCAGUCAGAGGCGAUGAAGGGCGUGCUAAUCUGCGAUAAGCGCCGGUAAGGUGAUAUGAACCGUUAUAACCGGCGAUACCCGAAUGGGGAAACCCAGUGUGACUCGUCACACUAUCAUUAACUGAAUCCAUAGGUUAAUGAGGCGAACCGGGGGAACUGAAACAUCUAAGUACCCCGAGGAAAAGAAAUCAACCGAGAUUCCCCCAGUAGCGGCGAGCGAACGGGGAGGAGCCCAGAGCCUGAAUCAGCAUGUGUGUUAGUGGAAGCGUCUGGAAAGGCGCGCGAUACAGGGUGACAGCCCCGUACACAAAAGCGCAUGUGCUGUGAGCUCGAUGAGUAGGGCGGGACACGUGGUAUCCUGUCUGAAUAUGGGGGGACCAUCCUCCAAGGCUAAAUACUCCUGACUGACCGAUAGUGAACCAGUACCGUGAGGGAAAGGCGAAAAGAACCCCGGCGAGGGGAGUGAAAAAGAACCUGAAACCGUGUACGUACAAGCAGUGGGAGCCCCACCACCAAAGCAUUUGCUGUACCGCGUUGACGGAGCGAAGCGACGUCAAACCGAUAAAACAGCAGUGUAAAGUGAGCCGCAGGGCGCU